GAUGAAGAACGUAGCGAAAUGCGAUACGUAAUGUGAAUUGCAAAUUCAGUGAAUCAUCGAGUCUUUGAACGCACAUUGCGCCCCAUGGUAUUCCGGGGGGCAUGCCUGUCCGAGCGUCAUUGCUGCCCUCAAGCACGGCUUGUGUGUUGGGCCUCCGUCCUCCUCCCGGGGGACGGGCCCGAAAGGCAGCGGCGGCACCGCGUCCGGUCCUCGAGCGUAUGGGGCUUCGUCACCCGCUCUUGUAGGCCCGGCCGGCGCUUGCCGACACAUCAAUCUUUUUUCCAGGUUGACCUCGGAUCAGGUAGGGAUACCCGCUGAACUUAAGCAUAUCAAUAAGCGGAGGA
rnacentral:misc_RNA from 1 species